rnacentral:lncRNA from 10 species
CAGACAAUGUAGCCGGAGGGUUAGGUGGCAGUGAUUGGCAAUCUCCACCUGGAGUCUCAGCUCCAAGAUAAGCCCUAAGGUUCCCUCUGGAACAUCAGUCUGUACUUUUCUAUAUUUAGAGGAAGUCUCAAGUGUAGGACGAUUGCUGCAGUCUGGAGUCUUCACUGGUACAGCAAGAUGAUGGAUUGUUUUUCAGUACUUGUUUCCUCCUAUGUAAUGAUUAUUUUUUUCUUUGUAGCUUCACAUUACUGGUUUGCUGCGUUGCUGUUCCCCAGACCAAGCAGAAGCAUCUGUAACGUCUGAAGGAAGAACCCAGGCCCGCAGCUCACCCACUACAGAACCUAGGGACCUUAUCCUUCUUCCAGGUAUUUUUGGUGAGUCCAUAGAACAGACACCGUUCCAGGAACUUGAGAUACAUCAGUGAACAGAAUUAAGGUCCUUGACUUCGUUCAGCUUAUGUUCUACCCAGAGAAUUCAGACAAAAACAAUACUCUUAAUAGCUGGCCGGGUUCAAUGGCUCACACCUGUAAUCUCAGCGCUUUGGGAGGCCGAGGCAGGCAGAUCACCCAAGGUCGGGAGCCAGGACCAGCCUGGCCAACAUGCUGAAACCUCAUCUCCACUAAAAAUACAAGAAUUAGCUGGGCAUUGUGGCACGUGCCUGUAAUCCCAGCUACUCGGGUGGCUGAGGCAGGAGAAUUGCUUGAACCCGGGAGGCAAGGUUGCAGUGAGCUGAGAUCAUACCACUGCACUCCAGUGUGAGCAACAGAGUGAGACUCCAUCUCAAUAAAUAAAUAAAAGCUGAAUAGUGUUCCAUUGUGUAUAUAUACCACAUGUUCUUUAUCCAUUCAUCCACUGAUGGACACUUAGGUUGCUUCCAUAUCUUGGCUAUUGUGAAUAAUGCUGCAAUCAACAUAAGAGUGCAGAUAUCCUUUCGACAUGUAAUUUUCUUUGGAUAUAUGCCCAGUAGUAGGAUUGCUGGAUCAAAUGGUAGUUUUAUUUUUAAUUCUUUUAGGAACCUUCAUACUGUUUUUCCAUAAUAGUGUACUAAUUCACAUCUCUAUCAACAGAAGACACCACUGAAUUUUAAAAAGCAGAUCAUUUUAAUAAUGAUAUUUUGGGAGAAAAACACCCUAUUCCUUUUAGCUGUAUACAUUUAUAUUAUGACUUAUCUUGAUUUCAGAAACCUUAAAUUGUGGAGAAAAAAUAUGCUUAG